rnacentral:misc_RNA from 1 species
CCAAUAGCGUAUAUUAAAGUUGCUGUGGUUAAAAAGCUCGUAGUUGAAUUUCGGAAUUGAUGCAUCGGUCGUGCCUUAAGGGGCAUGAACUGGUGUAGCCAAUUUCUCACUUUCUGGUGAAUUGUGAUGUUCUUAAUUGGGUGUCUCAAUGAACUGGAAUUUUUUACUUUGAAAAAAUUAGAGUGUUUAAAGCAGGCAUUAAUUUGCUUGAAUACAUUAGCAUGGAAUAAUGAAAUAGGACGGUGGUUCUGUUUUGUUGGUUUCUAGGAUCACGUAAUGGUUAAUAGGGACAGUUUGGGGCAUUAGUAUUCAAUUGUCAGAGGUGAAAUUCUUGGAUUUAUUGAAGACUAACUAUUGCGAAAGCAUUUGCCAAGGAUGUUUUCAUUAAUCAAGAACGAAAGUUAGGGGAUCAAAGACGAUUAAGUACGUCGUAGUCCUAACCAUAAACUAUGCCGACUAGGAAUCAGACGAUGUUAAUUUUUUAAUGACUCGUUUGGUACCUUACG